AAACUUUCUUUUACAUUAAAAGAAAAUGACAUAAAAAAGAAACAAAUAUUUUUCUAUGGCUCGAUUAUCAAAGAACACAUUUAAUAAAAAGUUCUUAACGUAUUGGAAACAGUCAAAGCAGAAUGAUUUUCGAGGAAAACAGGAAAAAAAGAAACAAAGAAAAAAAAAAAUCUCAGCUUUUUAAAAAACUUUUUCUUCUCUUUCUUUAAAAUUAUUUUUGAGGAAAUUUCAAAACACACACUACUUUACUUACUGUAACUGAUGUUACUUAAAAUAUUAUCCAUUUAGCCAAAACAAAAAUGAAUUUUUC
rnacentral:lncRNA from 1 species